rnacentral:rRNA from 1 species
GGUGAGCUACCCCGAGACAGCCUAUAUUAAUCUAGGGCUAACCCGUCUCUGUGGCAAAAGAGUGGGAAGAGCUCCGGGUAGAAGUGAAAGACCUACCGAACCUGGUGAUAGCUGGUUGACUGAGAAAUGGAUAGAAGUUCAGCCUCAUACACCCCAAACCAAGAAAUGUUAUCGCCAAGAUAUUUAGGGAAACGUACGAGAGUUAGUUGAAAGGGGUACAGCCCUUUUAACAAAGGAUACAACCUUUACAGGAGGAUAAAGAUCAUAAUGUAUAAGAUAUACUGUUCUAGUGGGCCUGAAAGCAGCCACCUAAACAGAAAGCGUUAAAGCUCGGACAGAAAGAAGUUUAUUAUACUGAUAAAAAAUCUUAUUCCCCUAACUAUAUCAGACCAACCCAUGCCCACAUGGAAGAGAUUAUGCUAAAAUGAGUAAUAAGAAGACCCGCUCUUCUCCCAGCACAAGUGUAAACCAGAUCGGACCAACCACUGGAGCUUAACGAACCCAACCCAAGAGGGUAGUGUGACUAAGAGAAAACACGAGAAGACCUCACAUUAAUUGAUCGUUAACCCCACACUGGAGUGCUAUUUUAAGGGAAAGACUAAAAGAAGAGGAAGGAACUCGGCAAACACAAGCCUCGCCUGUUUACCAAAAACAUCGCCUCCUGCAACUAAACUGAGUAUAGGAGGUCCAGCCUGCCCAGUGACUACGGGUUCAACGGCCGCGGUAUCUUGACCGUGCAAAGGUAGCGCAAUCACUUGUCUCUUAAAUAGAGACCUGUAUGAAUGGCUAGACGAGGGCUUAACUGUCUCCCCCUUCCAGUCAGUGAAAUUGAUCUAUCCGUGCAGAAGCGGGUAUAAAUAUACAAGACGAGAAGACCCUUUGGAGCUUAAGGUACAAAUUCAACCACGUUAAACGACUCUGUAAAAGGCAAGAACUUAGUGACAAUGAAAUUUUACCUUCGGUUGGGGCGACCGCGGAGGAAAAACGAGCCUCCGAGUGGACUGGGCCAAACCCCUGAAGCCAAUAGAAACAUCUAUAAGCCGCAGAACAUCUGACCAAAAAUGAUCCGGCUAAAGAGCCGAUCAACGAACCAAGUUACCCAAGGGAUAACAGCGCAAUCCCCUCCCAGAGCCCAUAUCUACGAGGGGGUUUACGACCUCGAUGUUGGAUCAGGACAUCCUAAUGGUGC